CCUACGGGAGGCAGCAGUGAGGAAUAUUGGUCAAUGGCCGUAAGGCUGAACCAGCCAAGUCGCGUGAAGGAAGAAGGAUCUAUGGUUUGUAAACUUCGUUUAUAGGGGAAUAAAGGUAUCCACGUGUGGAUAUUUGCAUGUACCCUAUGAAUAAGCAUAGGCUAACGCCGUGCCAGCAGCCGCGGUAAUACGGAGGCUGCGAGCGUUAUCCGGAUUGAUUGGGUUUAAAGGGUGCGGAGGUUGCUUUUUAAGUCAGCGGUGAAAGUUUGUGGCUCAACCCUAAAAUUGCCGUUGAAACUGGCAGUCUUGAGUUUGUUUGAGGUAGGCGGAAUUCGUGGUGUAGCGGUGAAAUGCUUAGAUAUCACG
rnacentral:rRNA from 1 species